rnacentral:rRNA from 1 species
GAUGAACGCUGGCGGCGUGCCUAAUACAUGCAAGUCGAGCGAACGGACGAGAAGCUUGCUUCUCUGAUGUUAGCGGCGGACGGGUGAGUAACACGUGGAUAACCUACCUAUAAGACUGGGAUAACUUCGGGAAACCGGAGCUAAUACCGGAUAAUAUUUUGAACCGCAUGGUUCAAAAGUGAAAGACGGUCUUGCUGUCACUUAUAGAUGGAUCCGCGCUGCAUUAGCUAGUUGGUAAGGUAACGGCUUACCAAGGCAACGAUGCAUAGCCGACCUGAGAGGGUUGACGGCCACACUGGAACUGAGACACGGGCCAGACUCCUACGGGGGGCAGCAGUAGGGAAUCUUCCGGAAUGGGCGAAAGCCUGACGGAGCAACGCCGCGGGAGUGAUGAAGGUCUUCGGAUCGUAAAACUCUGUUAUUAGGGAAGAACAUAUGUGUAAGUAACUGUGCACAUCUUGACGGUACCUAAUCAGAAAGCCACGGCUAACUACGUG